rnacentral:rRNA from 1 species
AGUGAACGCUGGCGGUAGGCCUAACACAUGCAAGUCGAACGGCAGCCCAGUAAGAGCUUGCUCUUACGGGAGGCGAGUGGCGGACGGGUGAGGAAUACAUCGGAAUCUACUUUUUCGUGGGGGAUAACGUAGGGAAACUUACGCUAAUACCGCAUACGACCUACGGGUGAAAGCAGGGGAUCUUCGGACCUUGCGCGAUUGAAUGAGCCGAUGUCGGAUUAGCUAGUUGGCGGGGUAAAGGCCCACCAAGGCGACGAUCCGUAGCUGGUCUGAGAGGAUGAUCAGCCACACUGGAACUGAGACACGGUCCAGACUCCUACGGGAGGCAGCAGUGGGGAAUAUUGGACAAUGGGCGCAAGCCUGAUCCAGCCAUACCGCGUGGGUGAAGAAGGCCUUCGGGUUGUAAAGCCCUUUUGUUGGGAAAGAAAAGCAGCAGGUUAAUACCCCGCUGUUCUGACGGUACCCAAAGAAUAAGCACCGGCUAACUUCGUG